CGGCACGGGGAGGUAGUGACGAUCAAUAACGAUGCGGGACUCUGACGAGGCUCCGUAAUCGGAAUGGGCGUACUUUAAAUCCUUCGACGAGGAUCAAGUGGAGGGCAAGUCUGGUGCCAGCAGCCGCGGUAAUUCCAGCUCCACUAGCGUAUAUUAAAGUUGCUGCAGUUAAAAAGCUCGUAGUCGGAUCUCGGGAUCGUGUCGGCGUUCUCGCGGUUUCUCCUGCGGCUCUGCCGUUGGGGGUCUUCGUGGGUCGUCGGCCCUGCCGGCUAGGUCCCUACCUGAUGGUGGGGUUCCACCUGGCUCGUGCAGCCCGCCGUCGCGUUUAGGCGGGUGUCCUUAAUUGGAUGCCCGCUCUGGAACGUGGCCAUUUUACCUUGAACAAAUCGGAGUGCUCAAAGCAGGCUCAUUUCGCUCGAACGGUAGCGCAUGGAAUAAUGGAAGAGGACCGGCUUCCGCUUCUGUUGGUCUCACGGAGGCAGGUAAUGAUCAAGAGGGACGGACGGGGGCAGAGGUAUGUCGUGGCGAGAGGUGAAAUUCUUGGACCCUCGACAGACCCUCGAGAGCGAAGGCAUCUGCCAAGGAUGUUUCCAUUGAUCAAGAACGAAAGUCGCGGGAUCGAACGGGAUUAGAUACCCCGGUAGUCGCGACCGUAAACGAUGCCAACCGGGAAUUCGGCGGCGUUACUUCCAUGACCCGUCGAGCGCCCGACCCGGGAAACCGAGAGUCUUUGGGUUCCGGGGGGAGCAUGGUUGCAAAGCUGAAACUUAAAGGAAUUGACGGAAGGGCACCACCAGGAGUGGAGCCUG
rnacentral:rRNA from 1 species